rnacentral:rRNA from 1 species
AUGAUACAUGGUCCAUGUGGUCAAGCACACCCAAAAUCACCAUGCAUGGUUGAUAAAAGUUGUGCCAAACAUUCCCCCAAGAAUUUCUGCACUGAGACUACCAUAGAUGAAGAUAACUAUCCAAUAUAUAGAAGACGAGAUGAUGGCAACACUGUGGACAAGAAUGGAGUGAAGCUAGACAAUAGAUUUGUUGUGCCAUACAAUAGAAACCUAUUGGUCAAGUAUCAAGCCCACAUAAAUGUUGAAUGGUGCAACAAAUCAAGGUCUAUUAAGUAUUUAUUCAAAUACAUCCACAAAGGGGAAGAUUGA